rnacentral:lncRNA from 1 species
GAAGCUCGGCCUAGGCUACAACCCCCUCCGGUGAGCUCCUCAUGUCCUCUUAUACCCCUCCUACUUGCUCCAUGAUUCUAUGCUCCACAUUUGUGAGGUGUAAUUUUUCAAUUUUGUUCAUAGUCAAGCAUUGGAUUAUAUUGUAUUUGUCAUGAUGUACAUGGUUCAUGAACUAUGCCAACCUGCAGCUUGUUAUACUAGUUAUAGUAGGAUAAUGCAAGUUUUGACAAUCCAUACAUAUUUCUGCAUGUUUAGUGUCUCUCUGGUUUCUGACAUGUCUGCCUUCUAACAAAGAGAAACCAAGAACAAACACUUUGAUCGAUGUAUGAUUCAACUUGUUCUCUAUUUAAGGACCUUCUUAUUUUUGUUAUCGAACAUUAUGGAUUGCUGCUGUGAUCGAAUUUGUUUCACUCAUGGAGAUGAGCUCUUUUACUAGCUCUGGUUUUGUUAAGAUUGAUGAUACCAUGGAUAAGAGCAUGCACAUUACUACUGAAUUUGUUUCAUGUCUCUGUCUACUAAUCAUCAAUUACUACUAGUUGGCUUUUACAUGCUGAACAUUGUUGAUAGUUAGAUACUAGGUAUGUGAUGUGCUAGUUGUACACCUACAUUUCCAGGUUCCAACUCCUAUAGUCUCUGCCCGUGUUGGAUUUUGUUGCUUGUGUAAAAAAAAUUAGUGUAGGUCUUUAAAGGAGUUCGUGAUUUCAAUUCUGGUUGUGUCAAAUCUUCACUAUGUACCAUCCUUAGUGUUUACUUAACUGAAGCAUUGGACAUCGGAAUUUGGGCAUGAUGUAUAAUUUCAGUUCUAGAUGUGUCCAACACAAACAUUACUGUAAACUAUCAAGUUGAUUCUAAAAUGUCUUAUUAACUUCAGUUCAGAUGGUUAUUUUUGGAUUUGGUACCAGUUUAUUGUUGGCAUAGCCUGUGAUUCGUACCUUGCUUUGGUUUCCAGUAGCAAGUAGUGCCUUAGUACCUUUUCUAUGUGGUGUCCAUGGAUUGAAAUUUUGGCUGUAUGUAUUAUUGUAGUAUCGAAAAUGGCUCAAUCCUUAAGUUCUUAGGCUGUGCAUAUGGCUACGCUCCAUUCUUUUGUGCGUGUUAAUUCAGUUUUGGUGUUGAUUUGAUGCUGAUGUUUAGAAACAAAAUUUUGAUGGAUGGGUUCAUUUCAGUAGUCUAAAUAGGUUAAUCUUCUUGGUUUGUUGGCGUGCAGAUGAUUGAUGAGCUGAUCUUGUUCCACCAGUUGUAGCGGGAGUGAUGCUGGAGCAAUACAUCGAUCAUGAGAUAGCUGUGCCAUUUGGGUAGGGAGAAGCUAGGACGGCCCUAAUGCAGUAACACCACCAUGUGGCAAAUCCAGCACAUGGACACAACAUUGGUGCCUGGGUGAUGGGAUAAUGUAUGUGUACCAGCGACAUGAUAUUUGUGCUUCUCGUCCAAUCUAUAUUGUUGUGCACUUGUGUACUUGUUGGGACUUUUUAUUGUGCACUUGCAAUUGUAGAACUAUUUUUUGUUGUUGUGCAGUUGUUGGUCCUUGAACCUUGCUGUGUAUAGGAGUCGAUGGAUGAUGUAUUGUAUUUCCUGUGAUGUGUUACUGAAAUGAAAUAUACAGUUUUUUUGCAAAUAUUGUAUUAUGUUGUACUUGUUUUCUAAUGGGCCUAUCCUAAGA